UUUAUUUUAUCUCAGUAUUAUAUUAUUUUACUUUUGUGCAUUCUAGAUUUGGUUUUUCUAAUUGAAGGUACAUUAUGCUGCGAGUGUUUCAAGUCUGUGUUGAUAUGUUGGAAAUAGUAACGAUCACGAUAUGGAGUGGAUGAUAGGAUCAUGCCAUUUACCAUUGCUUGUUGUGAAGGAUCUCCCCAUGAAGUUGACACUGCUGG
rnacentral:lncRNA from 1 species